rnacentral:misc_RNA from 1 species
GAUGAAGAACGUAGCAAAAUGCGAUACUUGGUGUGAAUUGCAGAAUCCCGUGAACCAUCGAGUUUUUGAACGCAAGUUGCGCCCGAAGCCUUUUGGCCGAGGGCACGUCUGCCUGGGCGUCACGCAUCGCGUCGCCCCCCCACAAUUCUCCGUAAAGGGAACUUGUGUUUUGGGGGCGGAUAUUGGUCUCCCGUGCUCAUGGCGUGGUUGGCCGAAAUAGGAGUCCUUUCGAUGGACGCACGAACUAGUGGUGGUCGUAAAAACCCUCGUCUUUUGUUUCGUGCUGUUGCUCGCAAGGUAAACUCUUUAAAAACCCCAAUGUGUCGUCUCUUGACGACGCUUCGACCGCGACCCCAGGUCAGGCGGGACUACCCGCUGAGUUUAAGAAUAUCAAUAAGCGGAGGA